GUGAAAUUGUUGAAAGGGAAACGAUUGAAGUCAGUCAUGCUGGUGGGAAUCAACUUAGGGGAAACUCUAGGUGCACUUCUUCGCUUGGCAGGUUAACGUCGAUCUUGAAUGCCAUAAAAUAAUUGGGGGAAGGUAGCUCCUUCGGGAGUGUUAUAGCCCUUGAUAGAUGUGAUGUUUGGGGUCGAGGAUUGCAACGGAUACCCUUCGGGGCUACCUGUCUGAUCUCUGAUCGUUGCUCUGGUGCCGAAAGCUUGCUUACGGUUAUCAAAGUCGAUGGUCAAUAGGUUAGAACGGGUUAAAUUCGUUAAGGAUGUUGACGUAAUGGCUUUAAACGAC
rnacentral:rRNA from 1 species